CUGCCCUCAAGCACGGCUUGUGUGUUGGGCCCCCGUCCCGGUUCUCCAAGCCGGGACGGGCCCGAAAGGCAGCGGCGGCACCGUGUCCGGUCCUCGAGUGUAUGGGGCUCUGUCACUCACUCGUGUAGGUCCGGCCGGCGGCCAGCCUCUUCAACCAUUUUUUCACCA
rnacentral:misc_RNA from 1 species